CUAUGCGCCUUGCCAGCCCGCUCAGGUGUGCCAGCGCCGCGGUAAUACGUAGGGGGCAAGCGUUAUCCGGAUUUACUGGGUGUAAAGGGCGUGUAGCCGGGCUGACAAGUCAGAUGUGAAAUCCGGGGGCUCAACCCCCGAACUGCAUUUGAAACUGUUGGUCUUGAGUAUCGGAGAGGCAGGCGGAAUUCCUAGUGUAGCGGUGAAAUGCGUAGAUAUCAGGAGGAACACCGGUGGCGAAGGCGGCUUACUGGACGAUGACUGACGCUGAGGCUCGAAAGCGUGGGGAGCAAACAGG
rnacentral:rRNA from 1 species